rnacentral:lncRNA from 1 species
GAGGAGCGUGUACUCUCGACUAGGCCCACAGAUGAGCAUACAUUCACGGUUGGGGUCACACUCCGAUAGUCAACAUAAGCAACCUUCCGGACAAAGUGUUCAUUCGCGGCUAAGCCCACAAGGAGCAUCAUCCACCUCACAUCAGAGUAGGCAGCACGACGGACGGAGAGAAGCAGUCACUCAAUCCAGCUCAAGUUCAACCAGCAGCCUGCGAAGAACUCGCUCGCCUGCUAGGAACGCACCACAUGCACUGCAUCUGCGGCGUAGACGAGCCAAACAC